rnacentral:rRNA from 1 species
AUUGAACGCUGGCGGCAGGCCUAACACAUGCAAGUCGAGCGAGCGGCGGACGGGUGAGUAAUGUCUGGGAAUUGCACAGUCGGGGGGGAAAACAGUUGGAAACGACUGCUAAUACCGCAUACGAUUGGCUGGCCCAGGUGGGUUUAGCUAGUGGGUGGGGUAAUGGCUCACCAAGGCGACGAUCCCUAGCUGGUCUGAGGGGAGGAUCAGCCACACUGGAACUGAGACACGGUCCAGACUCCUACGGGAGGCAGCAGUGGGGAAUAUUGCACAAUGGGGGAAAGCCUGAUGCAGCCAUGCCGCGUGUGUGAAGAAGGCCUUCGGGUUGUAAAGCACUUUCAGCGAGGAGGCGUUACUCGCAGAAGAAGCACCGGCUAACUCCGUGCCAGCAGCCGCGGUAAUAC